rnacentral:misc_RNA from 1 species
UUGGUCGUUUCGUUUUUACAGUUUGGCCAAAGGCCUAGUGUAAGUUUACAAAUCAGUUUGGUCAAACCGCACACUCGACAGACCCAGAAAGGUCCAAUCUCAUGGGGGGAUGAAAAAGUGAUUAACAGCAGCGCCACCCAAGUAAGCAAUAGCAGGGCUAGCCCGCCACCACCAACCGAGGAGACACUACCAAAAGUUGUAAAGUUCGCGGGACAACAAAACAGCUUCCGAAGAAGCCGCUUCGCUUCCCGACCAAAGCCUAAAAAAAGACUCGGCCGGGAAAGGUUGGCAAGGGUGUGGUAAUGAUCCUUCCGCAGGUUCACCUACGGAAA